UACAGAGGGUGCUAGCGUUGUUCGGAAUUACUGGGCGUAAAGGGCGUGUAGGCGGUUAUGUAAGUCAGAUGUUAAAGACCUGGGCUUAACCUAGGGGGUGCGUUUGAUACUGCAUGGCUAGAGAGCAGGAGGGGAGAAUGGAAUUUCCGGUGUAGAGGUAAAAUUCGUAGAUAUCGGAAGGAACACCAGUGGCGAAGGCGAUUCUCUGGACUGUUUCUGACGCUGAGGCGCGAAAGCGUGGGGAGCAAAC
rnacentral:rRNA from 1 species